rnacentral:rRNA from 1 species
UACCAGCACCCCGAGUGGUCGGGACGAUUAUUGGGCCUAAAGCAUCCGUAGCCGGUUCUACAAGUCUUCCGUUAAAUCCACCUGCUUAACAGAUGGGCUGCGGAGGAUACUAUAGAGCUAGGAGGCGGGAGAGGCAAGCGGUACUUAGUGGGUAGGGGUAAAAUCCGUUGAUCCAUCGAAGACCACCAGUGGCGAAGGCGGCUUGCCAGAACGCACUCGACGGUGAGGGAUGAAAGCUGGGGGAGCAAACCGG